rnacentral:rRNA from 1 species
AUUGAACGCUGGCGGCAUGCCUUACACAUGCAAGUCGAACGGUAACGGGCCUUCGGGUGCCGACGAGUGGCGAACGGGUGAGUAAUAUAUCGGAACGUACCUUUCAGUGGGGGAUAACGUAGCGAAAGUUACGCUAAUACCGCAUAUUCUGUGCGCAGGAAAGCAGGGGACCUUCGGGCCUUGCGCUGAUUGAGCGGCCGAUAUCAGAUUAGCUAGUUGGUGAGGUAAAGGCUCACCAAGGCGACGAUCUGUAGCGGGUCUGAGAGGAUGAUCCGCCACACUGGAACUGAGGCACGGUCCAGACUCCUACGGGAGGCAGCAGUGGGGAAUUUUGGACAAUGGGGGCAACCCUGAUCCAGCCAUGCCGCGUGAGCGAAGAAGGCCUUCGGGUUGUAAAGCUCUUUCGGCCGGGAAGAAAUCGUAUGGGCUAAUACCCUGUGCGGAUGACGGUACCGGCAUAAGAAGCACCGGCUAACUACGUGCCAGCAGCCGCCGUAACAC